rnacentral:rRNA from 1 species
UCUACCGAUUGGACGCUGCGGUGAAGACCUGGGAUUGGUCUGGCGGUCCCGCGGGGUUUCCCCGCGUCCCCGGGCCGAGAACUCGUCUGAACCCCAUCGUCUAGAGGAAGAAGAAGUCGUAACAAGGUU